UUAAAUCAUGAUGUACGAAAAAUUGUUACGCGGGUACACAUGUCAAAUCAAGUAAUAAAGUCAUAAAAAGAUAUCGUUUUCAUGAAGAUCAAAUUCUAAGCUACUAACUAUCAACUAUUCAUUUUUAUCUAAUCUAACUGUAAGGCCCAAUUUUGGCCCGGGCCCGUACAAACACAAAACAAAAAAAACAAAAAGAAUAAAUUAUAAUAAAAAUAUUAUAACAGUCCAAAUAUUACAACCCAUUUACAACAAAUAUUGACAGUCCAUCGGCCCAAAAUAAUUACAAUGACCCAAAUUAAUCCUAGCCCAAUAUUACACAACAGAGCAGGCCCAAAUGGCCCGAGAGUUUGGCAUUCACAGAAACCUUAGGGUCCCCCUCGAUGUGCCGCAGCAACCUUCAACCUCCAAGCGCCGUAUAAUCUCCAGCACACCUCCGUACGCCCCACGCGGAGUGCCACGUACCACCACAGCUAGCCUCGUACCUCCAUACUUGCAAACAAACAAGAGAACGAUAGCAAACACGAAGGAAAAUUUGAUUUUUUUUAUUCUUUCGAAUUUCGGCUAUAAAGCCAAUAACUUCUUCAUUGUAUUUUUUUUGGACGCAUAUUAAAUAGAAAAGUACAAAAGCAACCAAGAAAUAGAAGGUGAUUUCAGAUUUUAUUUGCUCGUGUUUUGAUUUUUUUCUUUGUUCCUGCUUAAGGAUUCUUUCGCAUGAAAAUAAAAAGUGAAAAGGAGAGGGCUUACCUUCGCAUACGAGCCAUCGGAGUCCUCAUCUCCUUCGUUGAAAUCGAAGUUUGAGAUAGGAUUUUGGGGUUGAAAUCGAUGACCUUUGAGGCUUGGUUUUAAACGGAAGGCAAUAAGAAGCCAUUGCGCGCCAUCAUCCAGCGAUUAUGGUGGUGGAAUGGUGGUUGAACGGUGGACCGAAUGAGAGGGGGGGAAAGGUUUUAAGUUUGUUUUGUUUUCCUUUUCAAAUGGCUAAUAGUUAACUUAGGGUUUCUUUA
rnacentral:lncRNA from 1 species